AUUGAACGCUGGCGGCAUGCCUUACACAUGCAAGUCGAACGGCAGCACGGGAGCAAUCCUGGUGGCGAGUGGCGAACGGGCGAGUAAAGUAUCGGAACGUGCCCAGUCGUGGGGGAUAACGUAGCGAAAGUUACGCUAAUACCGCAUACGAUCUAUGGAUGAAAGCGGGGGAUCGCAAGACCCCGCGCGAUUGGAGCGGCCGAUAUCAGAUUAGGUAGUUGGUGGGGUAAAGGCUCACCAAGCCGACGAUCUGUAGCUGGUCUGAGAGGACGACCAGCCACACUGGGACUGAGACACGGCCCAGACUCCUACGGGAGGCAGCAGUGGGGAAUUUUGGACAAUGGGCGAAGGCCUGAUCCAGCCAUGCCGCGUGCAGGAUGAAGGCCUCCGGGUUGUAAACUGCUUUUGUACGGAACGAAAAGGUUUGGCCUAAUAAGCUGAGCUCAUGACGGUACCGUAAGAAUAAGCACCGGCUAACUACGUGCCAGCCGCCGCGGUAA
rnacentral:rRNA from 1 species